UACGAAGGGGGGCUAGCGUUGCUCGGAAUCACUGGGCGUAAAGGGUGCGUAGGCGGCUUUUUAAGUUUGGUGUGAAAUCUCCCGGCUCAACUGGGAGGGUGCGCCGAAUACUGAGAGGCUAGAGUGUGGGAGAGGAAAGUGGAAUUCCUGGUGUAGCGGUGAAAUGCGUAGAUAUCAGGAGGAACACCUGUGGUGUAGACGGCUUUCUGGACCGUAGCUGACGCUGAGACACGAAAGCGUGGGUAGCAAACAGG
rnacentral:rRNA from 1 species